UGGGGAAUAUUGCACAAUGGGCGCAAGCCUGAUGCAGCCAUGCCGCGUGUAUGAAGAAGGCCUUCGGGUUGUAAAGUACUUUCAGCGGGGAGGAAGGUGUUGUGGUUAAUAACCACAGCAAUUGACGUUACCCGCAGAAGAAGCACCGGCUAACUCCGUGCCAGCAGCCGCGGUAAUACGGAGGGUGCAAGCGUUAAUAGGAAUUACUGGGCGUAAAGCGCACGCAGGCGGUCUGUCAAGUCGGAUGUGAAAUCCCCGGGCUCAACCUGGGAACUGCAUUCGAAACUGGCAGGCUAGAGUCUUGUAGAGGGGGGUAGAAUUCCAGGUGUAGCGGUGAAAUGCGUAGAGAUCUGGAGGAAUACCGGUGGCGAAGGCGGCCCCCUGGACAAAGACUGACGCUCAGGUGCGAAAGCGUGGGGAGCAAACA
rnacentral:rRNA from 1 species